UCGUGCCUACAGCCUGUCCUGCUACUGCCCUGGGCCACAUCAUCUCUGGGAGCCAUGAAGCUCAGAGUGGUGCCACCACUUCCCUGCUUCUCUCUGCAUCCAGGGAUCAGCAUGACAAACACCUGCUGCUUGUUUGCUCUCUUGUCCCAUCCCCAAGCAGAUAUAUGCACACAGAUGUCUGCUUUUGUUUAAACAAGAAAAACAUAACACUUUUGUUUGGUUUUUUAACCUACAGGUCUUUAAGUGGGUGUCAUGAAGCCUUUAUAGUGGAAGUGAAAUAUAAGAGGUGUGAGGGAAGAAGUGGCUGAAAAGAUAGGGGACAGAAGAGUGAGGGGAGCCUCUUCCAGUUCUCCACACUCCACACAACAGCAGCUUCACCUGCAGCUCACAAAGGAGAGACAAACACAUGGAAACAGCAGCAAAAGGUGCAUCUUAACUGACCUCUGAAAAGCUCAGAGAAAUCAAAGGCACAAAGGGUUCUCAUGGGUAUCACAGCAGUAGAAACAGAGUCAAUCAUCAUCAUCGUCGUCGUCAUCAUGGCACAGCCUGUUUUGCUCCAGUCAGCAGAAAAAGGCAUCAGGUUGUGACUUGAUUGCACAUGGGACUGCGCGGGAGCUCCCACGUGUGCGGAGCACGGGCUGGGCAGGGAGCUGGGCAGAGCUGGACUGUGGGCAG